GUUGGAGGCCAAACUUCCUUGUCAAUGCCCAGUCUCGUCUAAUCUCUGAAGCUAAGCAGGGCCCAGCCUGUUUAGUACUUGGAUAGGAGACCACUGGGAAUACCAUGUCCCACA
rnacentral:rRNA from 1 species